rnacentral:rRNA from 1 species
CAGUCGAGCGGAAGGCCCUUCGGGGUACUCGAGCGGCGAACGGGUGAGUAACACGUGAGCAACCUGCCCCAGGCUUUGGGAUAACCCCGGGAAACCGGGGCUAAUACCGAAUAUGACCUCCGAUCGCAUGGUGGGUGGUGGAAAGUUUUUCGGCUUGGGAUGGGCUCGCGGCCUAUCAGCUUGUUGGUGGGGUGAUGGCCUACCAAGGCGACGACGGGGUAGCCGGCCUGAGAGGGCGACCGGCCACACUGGGACUGAGACACGGCCCAGACUCCUACGGGAGGCAGCAGUGGGGAAUAUUGCACAAUGGGCGGAAGCCUGAUGCAGCGACGCCGCGUGAGGGAUGACGGCCUUCGGGUUGUAAACCUCUUUCAGCAGGGACGAAGCGUAAGUGACGGUACCUGCAGAAGAAGCGCCGGCCAACUACGUGCCAGCAGCCGCGGUAAGACGUAGGGCGCGAGCGUUGUCCGGAUUUAUUGGGCGUAAAGAGCUCGUAGGCGGCUUGUCGCGUCGACCGUGAAAACCUGGGGCUCAACCCCAGGCCUGCGGUCGAUACGGGCAGGCUAGAGUUCGGUAGGGGAGACUGGAAUUCCUGGUGUAGCGGUGAAAUGC